AGGGACUACGGGGGUAUCUAAUCCUGUUUGCUCCCCACGCUUUCGUGCAUGAGCGUCAGUAUUGGCCCAGGGGGCUGCCUUCGCCAUCGGUGUUCCUCCACAUCUCUACGCAUUUCACUGCUACACGUGGAAUUCCACCCCCCUCUGCCAUACUCUAGCCUUGCAGUCACAAGCGCCAUUCCCAGGUUAAGCCCGGGGAUUUCACGCCUGUCUUACAAAACCGCCUGCGCACGCUUUACGCCCAGUAAUUCCGAUUAACGCUCGCACCCUACGUAUUACCGCGGCUGCUGACAC
rnacentral:misc_RNA from 1 species